ACGAGUUUGAUCCUGGCUCAGAACGAACGCUGGCGGCAUGCCUAACACAUGCAAGUCGAACGAAGCCUUCGGGCUUAGUGGCGCACGGGUGCGUAACACGUGGGAAUCUGCCCUUCGGUUCGGAAUAACAGUUAGAAAUGACUGCUAAUACCGGAUGAUGACGUAAGUCCAAAGAUUUAUCGCCGAAGGAUGAGCCCGCGUAGGAUUAGGUAGUUGGUAGGGUAAUGGCCUACCAAGCCGACGAUCCUUAGCUGAUCUGAGAGGAUGAUCAGCCACACUGGGACUGAGACACGGCCCAGACUCCUACGGGAGGCAGCAGUGGGGAAUAUUGGACAAUGGGCGAAAGCCUGAUCCAGCAAUGCCGCGUGAGUGAUGAAGGCCUUAGGGUUGUAAAGCUCUUUUACCAGGGAUGAUAAUGACAGUACCUGGAGAAUAAGCUCCGGCUAACUCCGUG
rnacentral:rRNA from 1 species